GAUGAACGCUGGCGGCGUGCUUAACACAUGCAAGUCGAACGAAGCAUUUGCGACAGAUUUUUUCGGAAUGAAGUUGCUUAUGACUGAGUGGCGGACGGGUGAGUAACGCGUGGGUAACCUGCCUUGUACUGAGGGAUAGCAGCUGGAAACGGCUGGUAAUACCGCAUAAGCGCACAAUGUUGCAUGACAUGGUGUGAAAAACUCCGGUGGUAUAAGAUGGACCCGCGUCUGAUUAGCUAGUUGGUGAGAUAACAGCCCACCAAGGCGACGAUCAGUAGCCGACCUGAGAGGGUGACCGGCCACAUUGGGACUGAGACACGGCCCAGACUCCUACGGGAGGCAGCAGUGGGGAAUAUUGCACAAUGGAGGAAACUCUGAUGCAGCGACGCCGCGUGAGUGAAGAAGUAAUUCGUUAUGUAAAGCUCUAUCAGCAGGGAAGAUAGUGACGGUACCUGACUAAGAAGCUCCGGCUAAAUACGUG
rnacentral:rRNA from 1 species